rnacentral:rRNA from 1 species
AGUUCGAUCCUGGCUCAGGAUGAACGCCGGCGGUGUGCCUAAUACAUGCAAGUCGUACGCACUGGCCCAACUGAUUGAUGGUGCUUGCACCUGAUUGACGAUGGAUCACCAGUGAGUGGCGGACGGGUGAGUAACACGUAGGUAACCUGCCCCGGAGCGGGGGAUAACAUUUGGAAACAGAUGCUAAUACCGCAUAACAACAAAAGCCACAUGGCUUUUGUUUGAAAGAUGGCUUUGGCUAUCACUCUGGGAUGGACCUGCGGUGCAUUAGCUAGUUGGUAAGGUAACGGCUUACCAAGGCGAUGAUGCAUAGCCGAGUUGAGAGACUGAUCGGCCACAAUGGAACUGAGACACGGUCCAUACUCCUACGGGAGGCAGCAGUAGGGAAUCUUCCACAAUGGGCGCAAGCCUGAUGGAGCAACACCGCGUGAGUGAAGAAGGGUUUCGGCUCGUAAAGCUCUGUUGUUGGAGAAGAACGUGCGUGAGAGUAACUGUUCACGCAGUGACGGUAUCCAACCAGAAAGUCACGGCUAACUACGUGCCAGCAGCCGCGGUAAUACGUAGGUGGCAAGCGUUAUCCGGAUUUAUUGGGCGUAAAGCGAGCGCAGGCGGUUGCUUAGGUCUGAUGUGAAAGCCUUCGGCUUAACCGAAGAAGUGCAUCGGAAACCGGGCGACUUGAGUGCAGAAGAGGACAGUGGAACUCCAUGUGUAGCGGUGGAAUGCGUAGAUAUAUGGAAGAACACCAGUGGCGAAGGCGGCUGUCUGGUCUGCAACUGACGCUGAGGCUCGAAAGCAUGGGUAGCGAACAGGAUUAGAUACCCUGGUAGUCCAUGCCGUAAACGAUGAGUGCUAGGUGUUGGAGGGUUUCCGCCCUUCAGUGCCGGAGCUAACGCAUUAAGCACUCCGCCUGGGGAGUACGACCGCAAGGUUGAAACUCAAAGGAAUUGACGGGGGCCCGCACAAGCGGUGGAGCAUGUGGUUUAAUUCGAAGCUACGCGAAGAACCUUACCAGGUCUUGACAUCUUGCGCUAACCUUAGAGAUAAGGCGUUCCCUUCGGGGACGCAAUGACAGGUGGUGCAUGGUCGUCGUCAGCUCGUGUCGUGAGAUGUUGGGUUAAGUCCCGCAACGAGCGCAACCCUUGUUACUAGUUGCCAGCAUUAAGUUGGGCACUCUAGUGAGACUGCCGGUGACAAACCGGAGGAAGGUGGGGACGACGUCAGAUCAUCAUGCCCCUUAUGACCUGGGCUACACACGUGCUACAAUGGACGGUACAACGAGUCGCAAACUCGCGAGAGUAAGCUAAUCUCUUAAAGCCGUUCUCAGUUCGGACUGUAGGAUGCAACUCGCCUACACGAAGUCGGAAUCGCUAGUAAUCGCGGAUCAGCAUGCCGCGGUGAAUACGUUCCCGGGCCUUGUACACACCGCCCGUCACACCAUGGGAGUUUGUAACGCCCAAAGUCGGUGGCCUAACCUUUAUGGAGGGAGCCGCCUAAGGCGGGACAGAUGACUGGGGUGAAGUCGUAACAAGGUAGCC